UGUUAACAGUGACCCACCCCAGUGAAGGACUGGGAAGCAUGCAAUGCGUUUCAACCAACGUUACUAAUUCUUCAACGCAGAUCUUAUUUACUUCAAGAAUUAAACCUAUCUGUAAUGUAUGGAAAUUAUUAACAAAAAGGAAUGCCAAAUGCACUGCAGACAUGGGGCUACUUGGAGUUAAGCGAAAGACUGACAUAAAUCUAUUCUGUAAUCUCAUGGCUGUUUCCUACCAAAGGAAGGACCAGAAUGCAAUGUGCUCAAUUACUAAGGCACAGGGAUACGUUGCUUCAGUUUUGUUUUUUUUAAAAAAAGCAGUUGCACCGCUGGCACAACAGACCUCGCUCUGUCACAAGCAAUUUAUUACAUCAGUAUAUCAACUUUAUUAAAAAAAGAAAAAGACAACGAGGAAGCCUGUCUUUGUGCAGAGCUCAGCUCAGACCGGUUUGGAAACAUAAACAGCUUCAGAGUUUAAUUAGAAACUGUUUACAUCUUAAAGAUAAUUUCAUUUUCUUCGAAUUGUAACAGAGGUAAUUCCAGAUAGGACCGCUGACUCCACAGUUUAACGUCUCUAAGCUGCCAGACUGAAAAACGCAAAGUGAGGUCUGCGCAACCGAAAACUCACUGCGCGGGGUCAGGCGACACCGUGCUAACUACUAAUGGUUCGAUCAUCUGAUGUUUAACAGCGCUGCAGCUACGAGAUGCUGCGAGAUGUCUAGAAGGAAGAAAAGAACCAGUCACCAGGUGCAAAGGGGACUGGAGGGGAGACGACAAAGCCGCCCUUAUCCCGUCAUCCUCUUUUCUAUCAGCAUGGUGAAAACCUGCUUUUGUCUACGGAAGCGCAAAGAGAGAUGAAACAAACGGCUCUAUCCUAGAAGCCUGCCUGGCAUUUCAAUUAGCUGUGGCUGGGAUGAUUCAGCAACAAGCAAUGAUCCUGGCUGGCAAGAAAUUUCAAGCAUAUAUGAACUCUUAAGCUUUCAGCUACUUUGGGGGAACUCACCCCAUUUCAACCCCCAUGGAGAUACCUGUGC